GCGCAACGCAACCGUCCCUGCCCCUUAUCCGGCCACUCCCCCAUCCCCUACGCCUCAACCCUCCUGAUACCAGCUCCCCAGGUCCGCCCGUGCGUCCACCUACCACCACCACCGCCGCUCCUCUCGCCCAUCGGCGUUGAUCUCCUCCUCUAUUCCUCCAGCCGCUCCAGAAAAACCCUUACUGGAUCCCCUUCACCCUCUAUUCUUUUGACCGCCUACCCUGAUAUCAGUCUCUGCACUUGAUUCCCCACCUCUGAGCGCCGCCACUCCCCUCUAUCCUCGACUCCUCCAACAUGCGCCUCACAUUCAGCUCCAAUGACGGUCUCUCCCUCACGUUCUGCUUGUACUACCAAAUAUUCAUUGCGCAGAGCGGGCUCUUCACCGCGAAGCUCUCAGAUCGCUGGUCCAAGAAGCAGCGGGCAUCGCUCUAUGACUGCGACGAUGUGGAGGUAUACCUUGAGACUCUGUUCCUCAUCUGUUGCAAGGAUCUCUGCAGGAGGCUGAUGAGGAAGGUUGUGGACAAGGUUCUCUACAUCUGUGCAUUUUAAUGGUAAGGGUGCCAUUUCCUAAGAUUAACCGAUGGCUUUGACGAAGGGUGCCACUUCAGUAUUCUUCAGGUUACUGAUUUGUCUAUGGUUCAUUACUCCUGCAUGCGCAGCGAAAGAUAGGAUUGGUGCAAUGCUUGCUUUAGCUUUCUUGUCUAUAGUUUCUUCUUUUCUUGUUUCAUAUGUACUUUAUUCUUUUCUUGUCCCAAAUUUCAUAUCAGAUUGGAAGAGUUACUUGUCCUACUUUGCUUGGAAGAAGUUACACUUGUCAAAUAGUUAAGUGUCCAGAUUAUAAUCUGCUAGUGUUGUGGUGUCAAACUAUAACUUAUAUGUUCUAUGUGAAUCUGUUUGUCAAAAUCUAAGUAGAUUGGCAGUACUUGUUGUCCACUCGCCCUCCUUACAGCGCUAUAUUUUCGUUUGCAUAUUUGUCUGACUUGUCUUGCCAUCUCCAGAUUAUUUCAAUUGGUUAUCCCUUCUUAUGAUCACUGUCUUCAUGUUUCUCACAAAAAGUUUGAUAACUUGUAGAGAAUGGGAAGCAAUGUUGGAGGUAGUCACAAUGAUGGGAGCGAUAUCUAUGGUGGCGAUCGUAAUAUGAGGCCAAAGAGUAGAACAUAUUUCUCCAUGUGAUUCAACUUACUGAAGUUCUCAAGCUGGAGCCUUGAUGGUGUUUGAUGUUUUUGUAAAAUUAUGUAGUCACUAUUUCCUCUCUCUUUUUUCUUUCGAUGAAUCAUUAAUAUUUAAUGUUAUUUGGAUGCAA